AGACUCGUCUGUGAUCGUCAUCAUCAUCAUUGUGUGUGUGCUUGUGCUUCUGAUCUUCACUGGACUGCUGUUAUUCAUUCUACUUUACUGCAGGAGAUGUUCAGCUCGAGAUGCUGAUUCAGACUGUGAAAUAUCUCACCCAGGAGCAGGAAUCUAUGAAUCGGUUACUCAAACCGCUCAUGAUUAUGAUGAAAUUAAAAAGAUCAGACAUCUGACUGAUUCAGCAACCAUCACGGACUUCAAUACUGCACCAUUACCCACAAUCCCCUUUGAUGCGUCUAAUGCUGGUUAUGAAACUCUUCAAUUACCCACAAUCCCCUCUGAUGCUUCUAAUGCUGGUUAUGAAACUCUUCAAUUACCCACAAUCCCCUCUGAUGCUCUUUACACUGUUUAUGAUACUCCUCAAUUACCCACA